UUUUAUUUAUUUUUUUAUAUUGUACAAAAAUUCUACUAGAAAUCUUGCUCUGAAAUAUUAAGUAUUGCACAUUUUUUGAAAAGAAAGUUUUCUGGGGUUGUACAUUUUCAGUGAAAAUUAUCCGCAGAGACUUGAAAUUUUCAGAAACCUCAUAUUUGCCUUUUGUAGAUGUAAAAUUUUCAAAACAUGAGUCAUUUUUAUUAGACAUUUUAAUUUUGAGUUUAUUUAAUAUUUAUUUGGUAGGUACUCCGUGGAUACAAUAAUUGUUAGACCAAACAGAAAUGUGUAAUAAUUUAAUAGGAGGUUCAUUAUAAGUUGUACUUAAGUGGUCAACAAGAAAAAGUUUAAUGUAAUAUAUAUUUAUUUUUAUUGUAUUUAAUAUUAAAUUUUGUUGGAAAUCAAAUAGUACGGCCUUUUAUACAUGAACUCUGACAUCAUUUUUGUUAGCAAAGAUUAAUUGUUGCGUACAGAUAUACAUUAAAUUCCCCUCAAUAUCCUACCUUUGUAACCUAUAAUAGUGGCCCACCCAUUGUAUGAAGUUAAAUUGUAAAAAUGUCAAUGGUUCAUGUAAUUAUGCC